GGGAUUAAUACUCCAUAAUAUUUUUGAGNAGGCAUCACUUAAAAAUUAAAGUUUCGGCGGUUAAAGAUGGGCAUGCGUGACAUUAGUUAGUUGGUGAGGUAACGGCUCACCAAGACUACGAUGUCUAGGGGUUCUGAGAGGAUUAACCCCCACACUGGUACUGAGACACGGACCAGACUCCUACGGGAGGCAGCAGUGAGGAAUAUUGGUCAAUGGGCGCAAGCCUGAACCAGCCAUGCCGCGUGAAGGAUGAAGGCCUUAUGGGUUGUAAACUUCUUUUAUACGGGAAUAAACUUAGCUAUGUAUAGCUAACUGCAGGUACCGUACGAAUAAGCACCGGCUAACUCCGUGC
rnacentral:rRNA from 1 species